AGUGAACGCUGGCGGUAGGCCUAACACAUGCCAGUCGAACGGCAGCACAGUAAGAGCUUGCUCUUACGGGUGGCGAGUGGCGGACGUGUGAGGAAUACAUCGGAAUCUACUUUUUCGUGGGGGAUAACGUAGGGAAACUUACGCUAAUACCGCAUACGACCUACGGUUGAAAGCAGUGGAUCUUCGGACCUUUCGCGAUUGAAUGAGCCGAUGUCGGAUUAGCUAGUUGGCGGGUUAAAGGCCCACCAAGGCGACGAUCCGUAGCUGGUCUGAGAGGAUGAUCAGCCACACUGGAACUGAGACACGGUCCAGACUCCUACGGGAGGCAGCAGUGGGGAAUAUUGGACAAUGGGCGCAAGCCUGAUCCAGCCAUACCGCGUGGGUGAAGAAGGCCUUCGGGUUGUAAAGCCCUUUUGUUGGGAAAGAAAAGCAGCAGGUUAAUACCCCGCUGUUCUGACGGUACCCAAAGAAUAAGCACCGGCUAACUUCGUG
rnacentral:rRNA from 1 species